UACUAUGGCCGUGCCACCCUGAACACACCUGAUCCCGGAAGCUAAGCAGGGUCGGGCAUGGUUAGUACUUGGAUGGGAGACCGCCUAGGAAGAGCAGGCGCUGUAGGUU
rnacentral:rRNA from 1 species